rnacentral:rRNA from 1 species
GACGAACGCUGGCGGCGUGCUUAACACAUGCAAGUCGAACGGAAAGGCGCUGCUUUUGUGGGGUGCUCGAGAGGCGCACGGGUGAGUAACACGUGAGUAUACUGCCCUUGUAUUUGGGAUAUAUUUAGGGGAAUGGGGAUAUUAUCGGGUAGGAUAUCUUGCUGCGUGGGGGGGAUUGGAGAGAUUCGGCGGUUGGGGAUGGACUCGCGGCUUAUCAGCUAGUUGGGGAGGUUGUGGCUGACAAGGUUUUUGAAGGGUAGCCGGCCUGGGAGGGUGACCGGCCUCAUUGGGACUGAGAUACGGCCCAGACUCGUACGUGAGGCAGUAGUGGGGAAUCUUGCACAAUGGGCGCAAGUCAGAUGCAGAAGCGCCGCGUGCGUGAUGACGUCCUUCGAGUUGUGAACCGCUGUCGCCUGUGCCGAGGCCUGAGUGACGGUAACGGGUAAAGAAGCACCGGCUAACUACGUG